UUCUAGUUAAUCUGCAGCUGUAUGAGUGACACUCCAGCUUUGGCCAGUCCCAAGAAGCACAUGGAGCAGGGGAGGCUGGAGAUGCCAAUGAAACACAGACCAUACAACCCCCAGCUUCUGGCCCUGGAGGAGAGGGUGCUCUGAGGAAUCCUGAAGGAGUGCUGGAGGAAGGAUUUGGUAACAUGUCCAUGCCAGUACUGCACUUAUCCCAAAUUUCCUGCUAUGGAGGAAGAACAUAUGUCAAAGCUCACUGUUUGUUAAAUUGAAAAGAUUCAGUACACCAGAAGCUUCUCUUCUAAACAUUGUGACUUUGUGCAAUUUACAGAAUGUUCUAUCUCCAUUAAACAAUAAACCCUUGACCCCUGGAGCUGGCUUUCA
rnacentral:lncRNA from 1 species